CACGUAGGGGGCGAGCGUUGUUCGGAAUCAUUGGGCGUAAAGGGCGAGCAGGCGGUCCUGCAAGUCCGGCGUGAAAGACCCCGGCCCAACCGGGGGGACGCGCUGGAAACUGCGGGGCUUGAGUACAGGAGGGGAUGCCGGAAUUCCAGGUGUAGGGGUGAAAUCUGUAGAUAUCUGGAAGAACACCAAUGGCGAAGGCAGGCAUCUGGCCAUGUACUGACGCUGAGACGCGAAGGUGCGGGGAG
rnacentral:rRNA from 1 species